AAUAAACGAAUUUCUGAGUUUUUCAUAAAAUUUUUGAGUCUUCGUGUUAUUUGAAUUCUUUUACAAUUAGUACUUUUAUUGUUAUUACGUGAUAAAACAUGAAUAGUAUUUUACGUGUGACUAAUUUUGUUUAAUUUUUUAAUAAUUUUUUUAAAUAAGACGGAUGGUCAAUCGCUCUAUACAUGAAACUCAGAAAUCUUCUUUUU
rnacentral:pre_miRNA from 1 species